rnacentral:rRNA from 1 species
AUUGAACGCUGGCGGCAGGCCUAACACAUGCAAGUCGAGCGGAUGAGAAGAGCUUGCUCUUCGAUUCAGCGGCGGACGGGUGAGUAAUGCCUAGGAAUCUGCCUGGUAGUGGGGGACAACGUUUCGAAAGGAGCGCUAAUACCGCAUACGUCCUACGGGAGAAAGCAGGGGACCUUCGGGCCUUGCGCUAUCAGAUGAGCCUAGGUCGGAUUAGCUAGUUGGUGAGGUAAUGGCUCACCAAGGCGACGAUCCGUAACUGGUCUGAGAGGAUGAUCAGUCACACUGGAACUGAGACACGGUCCAGACUCCUACGGGAGGCAGCAGUGGGGAAUAUUGGACAAUGGGCGAAAGCCUGAUCUAGCCAUGCCGCGUGUGUGAAGAAGGUCUUCGGAUUGUAAAGCACUUAAAGUUGGGAGGAAGGGCAGUAAGUUAAUACCUUGCUGUUUUGACGUUACCGACAGAAUAAGCACCGGCUAACUCUGUGCCAGCAGCCGCCGUAAUAC